GUUUACACUCCAAAAGAGUUACUUCCCUUAUAAGAGGCAACGACAUUUGCAUCGUUGUGUGCGUUGGUUAUGAAAAGUUAUUUUUUUUUGGUUCUGUAGUUAAAUCAUCGAGUAAGACUUACGUAACUUAUUAAUACCUUGAUAGUUCGUGGCAUUUAACAUUCCAUAGAUACCAGCAUAGAUACCAGCAUGGCAGAGAAGACAGAAACUGAAGAAGGGAAUGAAAUU
rnacentral:lncRNA from 1 species